rnacentral:rRNA from 1 species
UACGUAGGGGGCAAGCGUUGUCCGGAUUUAUUGGGCGUAAAGAGCGUGUAGGCGGCCAGACAGGUCCGUUGUGAAAACUCGAGGCUCAACCUCGAGACGUCGGUUGAAACCACCUGGCUAGAGUCCGGAAGAGGAGAGUGGAAUUCCCGGUGUAGCGGUGAAAUGCGCAGAUAUCGGGAAGAACACCCGUGGCGAAGGCAGCUCUCUGGGACGGUACUGACGCUGAGACGCGAAAGCGUGGGGAGCGAACAGG